GAAUUAGCCAGUUAAACUGUUUCUACCCUAUGCAGCCAAUCUUAACAUUUUUGGACAACAAUAACCCUGUCACUCCAAAACCCAAAAAAUUAAAAGUUCUCUUCACUCCCAAAUCCAGCAACACAGUUUUCACUUUUCCAGCAACAAUCGAUAGCAGUUGGACGGGUGUUUGAUAGAAGUUUUAUCUCCGACAUCAUGUGGUUGUAUUGCCGGCGCUUAGAUGAUAGUUGGACGGGCGGUUGACUAUUGCUUCAUCUCCAAAAGCAAGUUUUUUUUUUUUUGUUUCAUUACGAUUGGACCAUCAUUUGAAUGUCAUUAAGUGUAUAUUUCAUAAUAAAUUAGUAUAGGGUUAAUUUUCUAUGAAUUUGAAAAGUAUUUAGUGAGAUUGUGAUUUGAGAAAAAUGGCAUAUGAGGAGUUUGUUGAAAUGCCUAAUAGACUUUGUUAUACCAUUUUUUAUAGGCCAUGUCGAGGGUUGAUUGUGGCUUGGUGCGAAUCUAUAUUCGGCAAAGCAUAACAUGUGAUUUUAGUACGACGAGCACAUGUCGCUCAAAAUCAUAGCAACAUGCUUGCUUUAAUUUUGACAACGGGUGCUUGUCGCCCAUGAGACAAUGUUAUCUCUCAAAAUCACAUGAACAUGUUUGCUGUGAUUUCGUGUCACAGGCACCUAUCACCCGAUAGAUAGACGCCUGUCACUCAAANNN
rnacentral:lncRNA from 1 species